rnacentral:rRNA from 1 species
UACGAAGGGCCCGAGCGUUGCGCGGAAUCACUGGGCUUAAAGCGUGCGUAGGCGGACAAGAAGGCGCCUUGUGAAAUCCCCCGGCUCAACCGGGGAAUUGCUUGGUGAACCGCUUGUCUUGAGGCAAGUAGGGGCUGUCGGAACGAUAGGUGGAGCGGUGAAAUGCGUUGAUAUCUAUCGGAACGCCCAAGGCGAAGGCAGGCAGCUGGGCUUGUUCUGACGCUGAGGCACGAAAGCGUGGGGAGCGAACGGG